rnacentral:rRNA from 1 species
GGAAUAUUGCACAAUGGGCGCAAGCCUGAUGCAGCCAUGCCGCGUGUAUGAAGAAGGCCCUCGGGUUGUAAAGAACUUUCAGCGGGGAGGAAGGCGAUGUGGUUAAUAACCGCGUCGAUCGACGUUACCCGCAGAAGAAGCACCGGCUAACUCCGUUCCAGCAGCCGCGGUAAUACGGAGGGUGCAAGCGUUAAUCGGAAUUACUGGGCGUAAAGCGCACGCAGGCUGUCUGUCAAGUCGGAUGUGAAAUCCCCGGGCUCAACCUGGGAGCUGCAUCCGAAACUGGCAGGCUUGAGUCUCGUAGAGGGGGGUAGAAUUCCAGGUGUAGCGGUGAAAUGCGUAGAGAUCUGGAGGAAUACCGGUGGCGAAGGCGGCCCCCUGGACAAAGACUGACGCUCAGGUGCGAAAGCGUGGGGAGCA